rnacentral:rRNA from 1 species
AGUGAACGCUGGCGGUAGGCCUAACACAUGCAAGUCGAACGGCAGCACAGGAGAGCUUGCUCUCUGGGUGGCGAGUGGCGGACGGGUGAGGAAUACAUCGGAAUCUACUCUGCCGUGGGGGAUAACGUAGGGAAACUUACGCUAAUACCGCAUACGACCUACGGGUGAAAGCAGGGGACCUUCUGGCCUUGCGCGAUUGAAUGCGCCGAUGUCGGAUUAGCUAGUUGGCGGGGUAAAGGCCCACCAAGGCGACGAUCCGUAGCUGGUCUGAGAGGAUGAUCAGCCACACUGGAACUGAGACACGGUCCAGACUCCUACGGGAGGCAGCAGUGGGGAAUAUUGGACAAUGGGCGCAAGCCUGAUCCAGCCAUACCGCGUGGGUGAAGAAGGCCUUCGGGUUGUAAAGCCCUUUUGUUGGGAAAGAAAUCCAGCUGGCUAAUACCCGGUUGGGAUGACGGUACCCAAAGAAUAAGCACCGGCUAACUUCGUGCCAGCAGCCGCCGCAG